GCAAGCCGGCGGCGGGCGCCGGGCGCGCCCGGCGACGGGCGCGCCUGAGGAAGCUCCGCCACCCAGCGGGCCCCGCGACCGCUGCAAAGCGGUAGGGCGAGAGCCCUGGCAACGGCACAGAAACGAGACCCCCUCCAGCGGAUGGGCGUGACGCGACUGAGGGGGCCACCCCCUGAGAAGUCCCCCGGCAACGGGGGGCGAGCUAACUCGCCGACGACGCUGGAGGGUCGGGUGAAACGGCCGACCCGCGGGGUGCAGGGCCAAACAGGGCCUGUGAGGCCCGCACGAGGCCCGGGUGGGCCCCAAGACGGAUCCCGCUGAACAGAAGGCGGGCUACGACCGGCUUGC
rnacentral:RNase_P_RNA from 1 species